CCACUGCCUGAGGUCAGGAAGCUGCAGGUAGCAGGGGAGCGGGUUGGCCCAGGCCUCUCUGGCUGCCAAGGCAGGAGCGGUCCCCGUGUGCCACCUGGGUGUUGCUGGACCUUGGACAGUGUGGCCAGAGGAUCCGGAAGGGGUGAGGAAACCGGGGCGUGGAGAGGCUGUGUUACUUGCUCAAGGUCACAUUACUAGCAAGUUCCAGAUCAAGAUGCAUCCCCAGGCAGUCUGGCUCCAGACUCCGUGCAUUUACCUGCAGAACCCCUCUCCAGCCAGCAUCUGACCUGUGGCCCAGGAGUGUGCACCCUCUGGCAGGUGAUGGGGAGCCCUGGAAGACUUCAGAGCAGGGGAGGGACAAGGAGCAAGGUGGCCGUGGGAAGAUGGCUCCAGCAGCAUGCAGAAGAUGGACAGGAGUGGAUAGGGACAAAGGUGGAAAAGGAGAGAAUAAGCAUCUGCCAUUUGUUCACUGCAGAGGGUUUGCUGUGAUCAGAUCAACCCAG
rnacentral:lncRNA from 1 species